UACGAGGGGGGCGAGCGUUGUUCGGAAUUAUUGGGCGUAAAGGGUGCGUAGGCGGUUUGGUAAGUCUCGUGUGAAAUCUCCGGGCUCAACUCGGAGCCUGCACGAGAAACUGCCGGGCUUGAGUGUGGGAGAGGUGAGUGGAAUUCCUGGUGUAGCGGUGAAAUGCGUAGAUAUCAGGAGGAACACCGGUGGCGAAGGCGGGUCUCUGGGCCAAUACUGACGCUGAGGAGCGAAAGCGUGGGGAGCGAACAGG
rnacentral:rRNA from 1 species